AGGACGAACGCUGGCGGCGUGCUUAACACAUGCAAGUCGAGCGGAAAGGCCCUUCGGGGUACUCGAGCGGCGAACGGGUGAGUAACACGUGAGUAAUCUGCCUUCAGCUCUGGGAUAGCUCCGGGAAACCGGGAUUAAUACCGGAUAUGACCACUUCGGACAUCUGUUGUGGUGGAAAGUUUUUCGGCUGGAGAUGAGCUCGCGGCCUAUCAGCUUGUUGGUGGGUAAAGGCCUACCAAGGCGACGACGGGUAGCCGGCCUGAGAGGGCGACCGGCCACACUGGGACUGAGACACGGCCCAGACUCCUACGGGAGGCAGCAGUGGGGAAUAUUGCGCAAUGGGCGGAAGCCUGACGCAGCGACGCCGCGUGGGGAUGAAGGCCUUCGGUUGUAACCCCUUUCAGCAGGGACGAAGCGCAAGUGACGGUACCUGCAGAGAAGCGCCGGCUAACUACGUGCCAGCAGCCGC
rnacentral:rRNA from 1 species